UACGAAGGGGGCUAGCGUUGCUCGGAAUCACUGGGCGUAAAGCGCACGUAGGCGGCUUUCUAAGUCAGGGGUGAAAUCCUGGAGCUCAACUCCAGAACUGCCUUCGAUACUGGCGAUCUCGAGUCCGGAAGAGGUGAGUGGAACUCCUAGUGUAGAGGUGGAAUUCGUAGAUAUUAGGAAGAACACCAGUGGCGAAGGCGGCUCACUGGUCCGGUACUGACGCUGAGGUGCGAAAGCGUGGGGAGCAAACAGG
rnacentral:rRNA from 1 species